rnacentral:rRNA from 1 species
GAUGAACGCUGGCGGUGUGCCUAACACAUGCAAGUCGAGCGAAAGCACAAGAAGCUCGUUCCCUUACUGUUAGCGGGGGACGGGCGAGUAAGACGUAGAUCACAUUCUUAUUUUACUGGGAUAAUAUCGGGAAAAAGGUGACACUAAUAGCUCAUACUUUGUACGGCUUGAAUCAAAAGUGAUUGACGGUCUUGCCGAUUCAUAUAGACGGAUUCGGGUUGCAUUAGCUAGUUGGUAAGGUAACGGCUUACCAAGGCGACGAUGCUUAGCUGAGCUGAGAGGAUGAUCAGCCACACUGGAACUGAGGCACGGUCCAGACUCCUACGGGAGGCAGCAGUGGGGAAUCUUCGACAAUGGGCGAAAGCCUGACGGAGCAAUGCCGCGUGGGUGAUGAAGGUCUUCGGGUCGUAAAGCCCUUUUGUUGGGGAAGAACAUAUGUAGGAUAAACUGUGCACGUUUUGACGGUACCUAAACAGAAAGCCACGGCUAACUUCGUG